rnacentral:misc_RNA from 1 species
GACCCAGUUCUCGCUUCAAAGCAAACUUCUCAUCUCUUAUGAGACCCAGGACUCGACCAAUUCUUAAUGUUCUCGGUCUAAACUCCGUGGAUCCCCCAUGACGACCUCUUCUUCUAUCCUACUCGAAAAUCUCACCUCCGAAGCUGUUCUACCCCGAUUCUACAGCACUUUCCUCUUGAGAUCGACACUGGAAGGGUCUCGAAAAAAACGGCUCACGUGAUUUCGGAACGCACUCGCAUGCAUAUUACCGCCGCUGCACUCUCCACGCCAGACUGUGUGCAUCUCUAGAGUGCAUCUCCAACGUGCUGUGAGCGAUGUCCAAAAUGUAUGGACGAACAGGCGUAAGAAAACAAGCAAACAAGGGUAUGUGCGGGUCUGAAGACGCCAAAAGUAACUUAUUAUGCAAACAACAGUGACUCAAUAGACAUGGGGCUGAACUUCAUUUCAACUGCUGCUCAGUCUUGGUGGGCGUGGAGAGUGUACGAGAUACAUUUGCCUGGAAUGGGUAAUGCUUCCGUUAUUCUGAACCACAGACAGGGAAGGAGAAGUAAUGCCGUGAAAUACCAGACUGAGAGAAGGUC